rnacentral:rRNA from 1 species
UUAAGUGACUAAGCGUACAAGGUGGAUGCCUUGGCAAUCAGAGGCGAUGAAGGACGUGCUAAUCUGCGAAAAGCUUGGAUGAGUCGAUAAGAGGCGUUUAAUCCAAGAUGUCCGAAUGGGGAAACCCAGUAGAUGAAGAAUCUACUAUCACUUACUGAAUCCAUAGGUAAGUGAGGCAAACCGGGAGAACUGAAACAUCUAAGUACCCCGAGGAAAAGAAAUCAACCGAGAUUUCGUUAGUAGCGGCGAGCGAACGCGAAGGAGCCUGUUAGUGAUAAUGACAGAGACAGAGGAACAAGCUGGGAAGUUUGGCGAUACAGGGUGAUAGCCCCGUACUCGAAGUCCAGGUCAUGGUACUAAGCUAACGAUAAGUAGGGCGGGACACGUGAUAUCCUGUUUGAAGAUGGGGGGACCAUCCUCCAAGGCUAAAUACUCCUGAUUGACCGAUAGUGAACCAGUACUGUGAAGGAAAGGCGAAAAGAACCCCGGUGAGGGGAGUGAAAUAGAACCUGAAACCUUGUACGUACAAGCAGUGGGAGCCCUUUUGGGGUGACUGCGUACCUUUUGUAUAAUGGGUCAGCGACUUAUAUUUUGUAGCGAGGUUAACCGAAUAGGGGAGCCGAAGGGAAACCGAGUCUUAACUGGGCGUCUAGUUGCAAGGUAUAGACCCGAAACCCGGUGAUCUAGCCAUGGGCAGGUUGAAGGUUGGGUAACACUAACUGGAGGACCGAACCGACUAAUGUUGAAAAAUUAGCGGAUGACUUGUGGCUGGGGGUGAAAGGCCAAUCAAACCGGGAGAUAGCUGGUUCUCCCCGAAAUCUAUUUAGGUAGAGCCUUGAGCGGACACCUUCGGGGGUAGAGCACUGUUUCGGCUAGGGGUCCAUCCCGGAUUACCAACCCGAUGCAAACUACGAAUACCGAAGAGUGAUACUCAGGAGACACACGGCGGGUGCUAACGUCCGUCGUGGAGAGGGAAACAACCCAGACCGCCAGCUAAGGUCCCAAAGUCUAUAUUAAGUGGGAAACGAAGUGGGAAGGCUUAGACAGCUAGGAUGUUGGCUUAGAAGCAGCCAUCAUUUAAAGAAAGCGUAAUAGCUCACUAGUCGAGUCGGCCUGCGCGGAAGAUGUAACGGGGCUCAAAUAUAGCACCGAAGCUGCGGCAUCAGUAGCAAUACUGUUGGGUAGGGGAGCGUUCUGUAAGCGGAUGAAGGUGAAUCGAGAGGUUUGCUGGACGUAUCAGAAGUGCGAAUGCUGACAUAAGUAACGAUAAAACGGGUGAAAAACCCGUUCGCCGGAAGACCAAGGGUUCCUGUCCAACGUUAAUCGGGGCAGGGUGAGUCGGCCCCUAAGGCGAGGCUGAAAAGCGUAGUCGAUGGGAAACGGGUUAAUAUUCCCGUACUUGGAUAAACUGCGAUGUGGGGACGGAGCAGGUUAGGUUAUCGCACUGUUGGAUAUGUGCGUUUAAGUUGGUAGGUGAGAGGUUUAGGCAAAUCCGGACUUCUAUAACACCGAGAGAUGAUGACGAGGCUCUACGGAGCUGAAGUAACCGAUACCACACUUCCAGGAAAAGCCACUAAGCUUCAGGUUUAUCUAAACCGUACUGAAAACCGACACAGGUGGUCAGGUAGAGAAUACUCAGGCGCUUGAGAGAACUCGGGUGAAGGAACUAGGCAAAAUAGCACCGUAACUUCGGGAGAAGGUGCGCCGGCGUAGAUUGUAGUCCCUUGCGGAUGAAGGUUGAACCGGUCGAAGAUACCAGCUGGCUGCAACUGUUUAUUAAAAACACAGCACUCUGCAAACACGAAAGUGGACGUAUAGGGUGUGAUGCCUGCCCGGUGCUGGAAGGUUAAUUGAUGGUGUAAUCGAAAGAGAAGCUCCUGAUCGAAGCCCCAGUAAACGGCGGCCGUAACUAUAACGGUCCUAAGGUAGCGAAAUUCCUUGUCGGGU